rnacentral:rRNA from 2 species
GCCUAUACAUGCAGUCGAGCGAACUGAUUAGAAGCUUGCUUCUAUGACGUUAGCGGCGGACGGGUGAGUAACACGUGGGCAACCUGCCUGUAAGACUGGGAUAACUUCGGGAAACCGAAGCUAAUACCGGAUAGGAUCUUCUCCUUCAUGGGAGAUGAUUGAAAGAUGGUUUCGGCUAUCACUUACAGAUGGGCCCGCGGUGCAUUAGCUAGUUGGUGAGGUAACGGCUCACCAAGGCAACGAUGCAUAGCCGACCUGAGAGGGUGAUCGGCCACACUGGGACUGAGACACGGCCCAGACUCCUACGGGAGGCAGCAGUAGGGAAUCUUCCGCAAUGGACGAAAGUCUGACGGAGCAACGCCGCGUGAGUGAUGAAGGCUUUCGGGUCGUAAAACUCUGUUGUUAGGGAAGAACAAGUACAAGAGUAACUGCUUGUACCUUGACGGUACCUAACCAGAAAGCCACGGCUAACUACGUGCCAGCAGCCGCGGUAAUACGUAGGUGGCAAGCGUUAUCCGGAAUUAUUGGGCGUAAAGCGCGCGCAGGCGGUUUCUUAAGUCUGAUGUGAAAGCCCACGGCUCAACCGUGGAGGGUCAUUGGAAACUGGGGAACUUGAGUGCAGAAGAGAAAAGCGGAAUUCCACGUGUAGCGGUGAAAUGCGUAGAGAUGUGGAGGAACACCAGUGGCGAAGGCGGCUUUUUGGUCUGUAACUGA